rnacentral:rRNA from 1 species
GACAGGUGGUGCAUGGUUGUCGUCAGCUCGUGUCGUGAGAUGUUGGGUUAAGUCCCGCAACGAGCGCAACCCUCGACCUUAGUUGCCAGCAUUCAGUUGGGCACUCUAAGGUGACUGCCGGCUAAAAGUCGGAGGAAGGUGGGGAAUGACGUCAAAUCAUCAUGCCCCUUAUGACCUGGGCUACACACGUGCUACAAUGGGCGGUACAAAGGGUCGCGAACCCGCGAGGAGGAGCCAAUCCCAAAAAGCCGCUCUCAGUUCGGAUUGCAGGCUGCAACUCGCCUGCAUGAAGCCGGAAUCGCUAGUAAUCGCGGAUCAGCAUGCCGCGGUGAAUACGUUCCCGGGCCUU